rnacentral:rRNA from 1 species
UACAGGGGGGGCAAGCGUUGUUCGGAAUUACUGGGCGUAAAGGGCUCGUAGGUGGCCAACUAAGUCAGACGUGAAAUCCCUCAGCUUAACUGGGGAACUGCGUCUGAUACUGGAUGGCUUGAGUUUGGGAGAGGGAUGCGGAAUUCCAGGUGUAGCGGUGAAAUGCGUAGAUAUCUGGAGGAACACCGGUGGCGAAGGCGGCAUCCUGGACCAUUACUGACACUGAAAAGCGAAAGCCAGGGGAGCAAACGGG